GGUGAACGCUGGCGGCGUGCUUAAGACAUGCAAGUCGAACGGCAGUCUUCGAACUGUAGUGGCGCACGGGUGAGUAACGCGUAACUGACCUACCCCAAAGUCGCGGAUAACGAUUCGAAAGAAUCGCUAAUACGUGAUGUGCUGUCAGAUUGUGUUCUGCCAGUAAAGAUUGAUUGCUUUGGGAUGGGGUUGCGUUCCAUCAGCGAGUUGGUGGGGUAAAGGCCCACCAAGGCGACGACGGAUAGCCGGCCUGAGAGGGUGGCCGGCCACAGGGGCACUGAGACACGGGUCCCACUCCUACGGGAGGCAGCAGUUAGGAAUCUUCCACAAUGGGCGAAAGCCUGAUGGAGCGACGCCGCGUGAGGGAUGAAGGUCUUCGGAUCGUAAACCUCUGAAUCAGGGACGAAAGACACUUCGGUGGGAUGACGGUACCUGAGUAAUAGCACCGGCUAACUCCGUGCCAGCCGCCGCGGUAAAAC
rnacentral:rRNA from 1 species